rnacentral:rRNA from 1 species
CACGUAGGGGGCAAGCGUUGUCCGGAUUCAUUGGGCGUAAAGAGCUCGUAGGCGGUUCGAUAAGUCGGGUGUGAAACCUCCAGGCUCAACCUGGAGACGCCACCCGAUACUGUCGUGACUAGAGUCCAGUAGGGGAGCGUGGAAUUCCUGGUGUAGAGGUGAAAUUCGUAGAUAUCAGGAGGAACAUCAGUGGCGAAAGCGGCUUCCUGGCUCGAUACUGACGCUCAUGUACGAAAGCGUGGGGAGCAAACAGG